UACGUAGGCGGUUUUUUAAGUCAGGUGUGAAAGCGUGAGGCUUAACCUCAUUAAGCACUUGAAACUGGAAGACUUGAGUGAAGGAGAGGAAAGUGGAAUUCCUAGUGUAGCGGUGAAAUGCAUAGAUAUUAGGAGGAAUACCGGUGGCGAAGGCGACUUUCUGGACUUUUACUGACGCUCAGGUACGAAAGCGUGGGGAGCAAACA
rnacentral:rRNA from 1 species